ACUGAUGUGUGUGAUGACCAAACUUUUUUCCCCAUCAGAUCGACACUGUUGAUUUGAGAAGCUUUAAAGCCAGUUUUGUCUGACACAUCGUU